UGAGGAAUAUUGGACAAUGUGCGCAAGCCUGAUCCAGCCAUGCCGCGUGCAGGAAGAGGCAUCUAUGGUGUGUAAACUGCCUUUGUACGGGAAGAAACACUCCUUCGUGAAGGAGCUUGACGGUACCGUAAGAAUAAGGAUCGGCUAACUCCGUGCCAGCAGCCGUGGUAAUACGGAGGAUCCGAGCGUUAUCCGGAAUCAUUGGGUUUAAAGGGUCCGUAGGCGGUUUAGUAAGUCAGUGGUGAAAGCCCAUCGCUCAACGAUGGAACGGCCAUUGAUACUGCUAGACUUGAAUUAUUAGGAAGUAACUAGAAUAUGUAGUGUGGCGGUGAAAUGCUUAGAUAUUACAUGGAAUACCAAUUGCGAAGGCAGGUUACUACUAAUGGAUUGACGCUGAUGGACGAAAGCGUGGGAAGCGAACA
rnacentral:rRNA from 1 species